CCUUUUGUAUAAUGGGUCAGCGACUUAUAUUCUGUAGCAAGGUUAACCGAAUAGGGGAGCCGAAGGGAAACCGAGUCUUAACUGGGCGUUAAGUUGCAGGGUAUAGACCCGAAACCCGGUGAUCUAGCCAUGGGCAGGUUGAAGGUUGGGUAACACUAACUGGAGGACCGAACCGACUAAUGUUGAAAAAUUAGCGGAUGACUUGUGGCUGGGGGUGAAAGGCCAAUCAAACCGGGAGAUAGCUGGUUCUCCCCGAAAGCUAUUUAGGUAGCGCCUCGUGAAUUCAUCUCCGGGGGUAGAGCACUGUUUCGGCAAGGGGGUCAUCCCGACUUACCAACCCGAUGCAAACUGCGAAUACCGGAGAAUGUUAUCACGGGAGACACACGGCGGGUGCUAACGUCCGUCGUGAAGAGGGAAACAACCCAGACCGCCAGCUAAGGUCCCAAAGUCAUGGUUAAGUGGGAAACGAUGUGGGAAGGCCCAGACAGCCAGGAUGUUGGCUUAGAAGCAGCCAUCAUUUAAAGAAAGCGUAAUAGCUCACUGGUCGAGUCGGCCUGCGCGGAAGAUGUAACGGGGCUAAACCAUGCACCGAAGCUGCGGCAGCGACGCUUAUGCGUUGUUGGGUAGGGGAGCGUUCUGUAAGCCUGUGAAGGUGUGCUGUGAGGCAUGCUGGAGGUAUCAGAAGUGCGAAUGCUGACAUAAGUAACGAUAAAGCGGGUGAAAAGCCCGCUCGCCGGAAGACCAAGGGUUCCUGUCCAACGUUAAUCGGGGCAGGGUGAGUCGACCCCUAAGGCGAGGCCGAAAGGCGUAGUCGAUGGGAAACAGGUUAAUAUUCCUGUACUUGGUGUUACUGCGAAGGGGGGACGGAGAAGGCUAUGUUGGCCGGGCGACGGUUGUCCCGGUUUAAGCGUGUAGGCUGGUUUUCCAGGCAAAUCCGGAAAACUAAGGCUGAGGCGUGAUGACGAGGCACUACGGUGCUGAAGCAACAAAUGCCCUGCUUCCAGGAAAAGCCUCUAAGCAUCAGGUAACAUCAAAUCGUACCCCAAACCGACACAGG
rnacentral:rRNA from 1 species